GUGGGGAAUAUUGGGCAAUGGAUGCAAGUCUGACCCAGCCAUCCCGCGUGCCGGAAGAAGGCCCUCAGGGUUGUAAACGGCUUUUGACGGUGAAGAAUCGACAGGAUGCGUCCUGUUUUGACGGUAGCCGUUGAAUAAGCACCGGCUAACUCCGUGCCAGCAGCCGCGGUAAUACGGAGGGUGCGAGCGUUGUCCGGAUUUAUUGGGUUUAAAGGGUGCGUAGGCUGGAAGGUCAGUCAGCGGUGAAAAGCUGUCGCUUAACGAUAGUCUUGCCGCAGAUACUUCCUUUCUUGGAUGAGGAGGAGGCCACUGGAACGGAUGGUGUAGCGGUGAAAUGCAUAGAUAUCAUCCAGAACACCGAUUGCGAAGGCAGGUGGCUGUACCUUAAUCGACGCUGAUGCACGAAAGCAUGGGGAGCAAACAGGAUUAGAAACCCCUGAGUCC
rnacentral:rRNA from 1 species